UUAAAAAAUAGUUUUCUUACAAUUGCAGAACAAAGGUUCUUGCUGUUAGUUCAAGUAGAAUGAAUGCUAAGUAAUUCACGAAUGGAAAAACCAGCUCAUGGUAAACUAUUUUCUGUGUUCUACCUAGAAAUGUUACUGUGAGUAGAAAAAAAAUUCUAAAUAAUAACUGGAGGUUAUUUGUCAUAAAUAAUUCCUCUUGAAUACAAAACUAAAAUCUGCAUUAAAAAUAAAAUAUUUUAUAUCUGUACACAGAAUAUUCAGAUGUCAAAAGGAGGCCAACUUCAUAAUAGGAAAACUUAAAUUACAACCUCUGACAGCCACCAUUCUAUUCGGUUUCUCCUGGGAAUCUCCUGUUCUGUGCGCAGUAUAAACUCGUUUGGAAAUGUGGUGAUCACUCACCCUCUGCAUUGUUCUCGCUGGGAACUGCACUCCAGAGUGGUUCCUAUUUGGGCAUCUUGGAUCCUUGAGCCGGGCUCCACCCGCCUCCUCCUCGCUGAAGUGUACAUAUAUUAUAGACAACAUAUAACUGUUGAGCUUUUUUAAAAAAAUCUGAUCUCAAAACGUCUAACAUUGUAGAUACAUAGUUGUUGAUCUGGUUGAAUUUGCAUCUACCAUUUUGUUAUUUGUUUAGUAUUUAUCUCUGUAUAUUUUGUGUUUGUUUCUUUUUUUUCUGCUUUACCUUAGUAAGUGGAAUGUUUCUUUAAAAUUCAAGUUUAAUUUUUAUAUUUUAUUUUGCAUUUUUAGAGGAUCCUCCUUGAACUGUACUGUUCAAUACAG
rnacentral:lncRNA from 13 species